rnacentral:rRNA from 1 species
UACGUAGGGAGCGAGCGUUGUCCGGAUUUAUUGGGCGUAAAGCGCGCGUAGGCGGUUUGGUAAGUCGGGUGUGAAACCUCCAAGCUUAACUUGGAGCUGCCACUCGAAACUGCCAUGACUUGAGUUCGGUAGGGGAACACGGAAUUCCAGGUGUAGCGGUGAAAUGCUUAGAUAUCUGGAGGAACACCAGUGGCGAAGGCGGUGUUCUGGGCCGAUACUGACGCUGAGGUGCGAAAGCGUGGGGAGCAAACAGG